GAUGAACGCUGGCGGCGUGCUUAACACAUGCAAGUCGAACGCUGAAGCUUGGUGCUUGCACUGGGUGGAUGAGUGGCGAACGGGUGAGUAAUACGUGAGUAACCUGCCCUUGACUCUGGGAUAAGCCUGGGAAACUGGGUCUAAUACUGGAUACGACAUGUCACCGCAUGGUGGUGUGUGGAAAUGGUUUUACUGGUUUUGGAUGGGCUCACGGCCUAUCAGCUUGUUGGUGGGGUAAUGGCUCACCAAGGCGACGACGGGUAGCCGGCCUGAGAGGGUGACCGGCCAAACUGGGACUGAGACACGGCCCAGACUCCUACGGGAGGCAGCAGGGGGGAAUAUUGCACAAUGGGCGGAAGCCUGAUGCAGCGACGCCGCGUGAGGGAUGACGGCCUUCGGGUUGUAAACCUCUUUCAGAACGGAAGAAGCGAAAGUGACGGUACGUGGAGAAGAAGCGCCGGCUAACUACGUG
rnacentral:rRNA from 1 species